rnacentral:rRNA from 1 species
CGGCACGGAAGCCGCCGCGGUGAAGGGGUGGCUGAAGAAGGUAGGGGGCGGGGCCGCACCGGUCGUGAAUAUACAGCGAGAGGGAGAGAGAGAGGGUGUCGGGGUCCGCCAAGGAGGGGGAGGAGGAGGGGCGGGGCGGGAAGCGUUACGGAGGAGCGGCGCUGGUGCCGUUCGUCUGCGUAGUCUCUACCUUCGGGUUCCGGCGGGGGCGGGGGCGGGGUCGGGGGCGGGGCCGGGGGAGCAGGCGCCGGCAGCUCUCCUACCGGGAACGCGGCUCGCGCCGUCCCCGCCGCGUCCACACCCACGGGUCCCCGAUGCGCUGGAGCCGCAGGAGCAGGAGCAGGAGGCGCCAGUGGCGGCGGCUCGUCCCGCCGCGGCUGCUGUUCGAGAGGUCCGACUAGUUCCCCCGGCGCCUCAAGAGCCACCUGUUGUUGUGGAAGUGGCUCCGCGUCUAGUCCCGGUGGAAGAUGGGGUUCAAGCUCUUGCUCUUUAGACUAGUCCUCUGUUCUUGAGCCUACUAACUCUAACACAGUGUCCCUAAUCGGUGGUAACUCCAAUGCGUUUUCGUGAGUCCUAGAGACAAAUACAUACGACCAGUGGAACCACCACGUAUACGGUUCUUGUCGAAACCUUUAUAGAAGUGGCGGCACCCGCAAAAACAGGACCCAGCGAAUAAAGCACUUCGAACCCCGUCGUUUCGAGGAUUUUACGUUCGCCUUAAGUUACUAAAAGAGCUCUUUUUGGCUUAUACAUAAAGUUACCUUGAACACUGUCGACAUAAUCCUCUGGUACCCGUUUCCGGUUUCCUACUAAUACGACACCAAUGUCGACACUGUCUUAACCCGGUACCGUUCGGAGUCAAGAUAAGAUGGGGUCUCCACUAAAGUAAAACAGCCUUUACCGCCGAUGGUUGUUUAGUACAGACCGAUAAAAGGUGUUCCUUUAGACGGUGAAGUAAGAAACGACGGAUACUGCGAAACACACUUCUCCCAUGACGGUGUGGACAUACGUUUCGGGAACUACUUUAUCGACUAUAUAGACACGGUCCCAGUUUCCUAGUACAUUACCACGUCCCACUCUAAGAACUUCCAGACCAACGGGCAUAACAGUCAGCACUUUCAAGUCAAGUUUACCUUCUCCAAAACUCCUUGAAAGGUUAUGGAAGUAAUCUACCUCCACUGAGACUAAAUCCUGGUUCAAAUGCUCUGUAUACACGACGAUUAUCCAGUCUACUCUUCGUCGUUUAAUUUCGUGAAGAACUUUUACAACCUAGAAGUUACACAGGUCUGGUGGCACUAACCAAACCUAUGUCACCAGAACUCGGGGUCAGAGCUUUACGACUAUUUAGUCAACAGUGAGUAAAAAACGUUCGUGUAGGGUGCCUGAUACGUUGAUUCUUUAAUGUCCUCUACUAACCAGACUACUUCGCCUUUUUAAAGAGACGUAGAAAGUUUAGAAUGACCUUAAUAGUUUUCCAACUAAGAGAAAGUUUACUAUUGAACACAAUGUUCUACCAAUAGGUACACAUGUCACUAAGACAAAAAUCUGCGAUAGUCGUUCUCUACUCCUUUUUAGUUCUCAACACCGGUGACAUGUCUCCAAAGAAACAACUACAUUUGGACAAGUUCCGCUUAUUAUUCUUCCGACGACUUGAAAGGUUUCUGUCAUUGUGAAAUGACUCUUUAUAGUUACCACGAAACCUAAGUUCAAACAGUUCAUUCCUACCAGAUCGACUGCUCCUAAGUUUAAACUACCAAUUUGAUUUUAAAGACUGAAUAUUCUAUUCCUGUAAAAAUUAAGCCUUACCGGACAGGUGGGAGAAGUUUCUACCGGGUAGACGCAUAUCUUGAAUAAUGGACUCCGUUUACUUCUAAACCCCUUGUAGUCGUUCAUUCGUCUUUCUCGAGUGGUUUUACAACCUGCUUACCCGACAUAUGUAGUCUUCUUUCAUAGUUUUAUUCGUCGACGGUAGGAGUUGUAUAGAAUCGCUUCGUCUUGGAAAGGAACUUGUUAUACGAUUCGCAUCAGGACGUUUGGUCCGAAACUAUCCCCGACGACCACUGAACCAAGUUUGUCUUUUAAAGAACCGGUAUGAACUACGUGUCUCUCUACUUCUCCCACUGGAAGUCGGUCUUGCACCCUGUCGAGGAAGAUCAGGAUGCAGCUGUAGGGACCUGCAACAAAGCUUUUGACUCCCGGAAUAACAGAAGAAAGGACCAUAUGGACCAACACGCUUUAGACGAAAUACACUCGUUUAUAAUUUGUGCGGGCCACCGGAACCACUAUUAGCAGGAGAAGUAUCAAACUACCCUCUAGCAUGAUUUCCUUCUAUGACCGUUUUCCAACGACUACUCGCUUUUUUCUUUGGUAAAUCUUAUUGGGAGCGACUAUUUUUACGUGGUUUGCUCCUUCAGACCGCCGUCUAACUCCUAUACACACCCUACUGUUUCCGACGACGACAAGGACAAUAAGGACUAAGACUUCCGUGGCUAAGUUUAGGUAAGAGAGAACUUCGAGAACGACAAAAGUACAAAGCACAUGAGGUUGCCCAGUUAGUAGGCCCUUUAGACCUGUUUAGUAGUGGUUUACGACCGAUAUAAAACGAUUACAAAAUGUUGGAGAUACUACCGUUCACGGCUUCUCUUAAACUUUCACUUAAUAUACUCGCAAAACCGAGAAACCAAUUCUACGGAGAGGACUUCGGUCUCUCUCGAGGUAACGGACCACUACAGUUUUGAUAGAAUCUACUCCCUUACUCGAAUAAGUCUGACGUAGUUUCGUCCGUACCCUCUCACCUCGGUAGUUUUCCAAGUAUACGAGUUCUUACCCGAGUCACCCUCUUUUCUGAUGCACACCAGAACAGUUCCUUACGAUUAAUAGAAUGUAGGUAAGUCCAAGGUAAACUACAACGCCACUUUCUUCAUGACCUUGUCAACUUCCGACAACGUUUUCCACUACAGUUUUGAGGACUAUGACGUUUCGCUUCCAAACCCUUAUAGCAAAAACGACGUCAAUGUCAUGGGGUCCGUCUAUAUAACUCGGAAGAGGCUUUCAACCCGGUCUUACUACCACUACAUUUGUUAAAAGAGUUGCCGUAUUUUCACCUCCUAUUGGAUUCGUUCCGAGUACAGUGGGAACGGGUGUUUUCUCGGGUACCACAUCGACGUCAACGAUCGAUACCUCAGAUGGUCUUAGUCCUUCAGGGUCACAGCAAAUUGCGGAAGGAGAUGUGACUAUUCUACCGACGAGAACUCCGUGUUGAACCUUGACAUUUACCGCUCUUCUAGCUAAGGUUUUUACUGACCGGUGUACAAUGAGAAACCUGUCGGGGACCACAACGUGGUUUCCUUCGUUUGUACGACGGCGUCGACAAAAGUAGUCCUGUUCGUUUUGCACAUGACUAGCUGGGAGGCUAGUGGUAGAGUCCUCACGAACUGAAGAUGACUAAGGACAGAACCAAAAUCUUAAACUACAUCUGAACUCGUACCUUAGUCCUCAGAAGCCCAUUGUUGAAACAUUUAUACAAAACUCAAAGUACGGUGCUUUAAAAGUUCCCUAAAGAUUUCCAAGAAUCCUCAAUACCGUUGUCGAAGCAUUUAUACAACUCCAGGGUUUUAAAGGUUCGAUAAUAAUUUCCUGGGUAGCUCUGACUAUGAUCAGAAAUA